AAACUCUUACAGUCACGAAAAGAGGUCAAAAGGGAACCAAUGUUCGGGUGAAAAAAAUGGAGAAAAUUUAAAUUCUUAUGAGGAGGGAUAACAGAAACAAUAUCCGGAGUACCAAAAAAAGAGUCCUCCAAAACACACUUUUUGAUCACCUCCUUUACAACCCGAUGUUCAAAUAGUCUGAAAACAUGUGCCUACAUUUGUUAUCCUCAACAAGUACAGAGUUUAACCUAACUUCUGCAAUUGAUGAUGUUUGCUAUUCCAAUGCAGUCGCGUGGUAUAGCCAAUCAUUUCAAAUUUUAGAACUAUUUACGACAGCGGACAGUUGGGCUUGGGCCGCUGUGAUGACAGGAAUGUCUGGAGAUGGGGGAUGCCCACCGGAUUGGAACAUGACAACAUGACCUGCAGAAAUUGAGUUGGCAAAGUAGAAGGUAAAAAUGGAGUGAGUUGUUCUAUUUGAUGUUGACUCGACCAUAGAUUCAGAUUCUGCACCUUGCUAGGAGACAUUCCGUUCACGUUCCUCUUAUUUAGAUAGAAAAAAAAAUUGAAAUUGGGAAAUUGGGAAAUUGGGCAGCCACAAGAAGCCAAAUGCCUUUUCUUUCCCCUUUUGCUUUGCCAUGAAUGUUUCCCUCUUCUUCUUUUUUGAAAUUGAGGCUCAGUGGGCUUAACAUUGUUUGUUAUGUAGAGUUUGGCACUAUUUUAUGUCAAAUUAGCUUGGAUUAUAUCGCCCUAAAAGCAACAUUUUGGGAUAAACUUCAUUUUUACUUUCCCAAUACUCUCACACGAGUUUUCUAAAGACUAAAUCUAGUCUGCAUCGUGCACUGACGUCGUUUACAUAGACUAAAUUUUGUUACAAUGGUGUCCACAUUAACUAAAUUUUAUCUACAUACUAUUCUAGCAUUAUAAGACGGUCACAUCAGCUGAAUUUGGACAAAUUUCGUGUCCAAGGGAUUUGAUUAGAAUAUAUAUGAAAGUAGAAUGACUCGAUUAAACAUUUUGAAAAUACAAUAACUUGAUUAGAGAGGGCGUGAAUGCACAAAGAUAGAGGUAAAAUAUGUAGGACAUUUGAUGAAUUGUAUUAUGCUAGGUACAUAACAAACCAAAAAAAAUCAUGGAGAGUAACGAAAGAGACAUGCAUUAGCAUAACCCCACCCUCCUCCUCGCCCCCCCCCCCCCCCCCCCUCCUUGCUUCCGGAAUUAGGUACAAUUUAUUCGGUGGCCAAGUUGGACUUGGACCACAUCAAAAUGUAGAGGGGGCUAGAAUAAAUAGGUUGUCCAGUAAUUAUUUUGUUCACUUUUUUGGUGGAACUUUUGUUGCAAGUGACAAGUGUGAUUAUGCUCCUAUUUGUUGUUUUGUUUGAAGGUGACUUAUUUCCCCUUUUGGUCUGUUCAAACGGGGGAACAUGAGUGACUUUAACACUUGUUAAGAAAAAGGUGAAUGUAGUUUGGAAAAAAGCUAUAGAGGUGUAGCAAGUGCUGAAAAUGUGCAAUGAUACUCUAAAUAUGACAAUUUGUGAUGAUUACAUAAAGGGUUAUUAACAAAAGUAUACUUAUGGUACUGGUAAGAUCAGAAAAAAGAACAAGUAUAUUUAUUAAUACAAAUUGAUGCAGAUAUGUAUGAUUGAAAAAAAUAUUAACAACUACAAUCUCACUCCUCAGGAUUGGCUUAGUUGAUUGAAACCUGAUGGAAUUUUCAUUGCAAGAACUAAAAAUUGUUUAUUCAAACCUCACUGAAAGUGCAUGCAAACCAGUCUGGGUCAUGACCUCAUGCAAAAAUCAAAGGCCCGUAUUUAACCAAUUCGCUAAAUUUGUAUGGUGUUUCAUGGAUUUCUAAAUAAUCGCACUCAUGCUCCCGAGUUAUAAUAAAAAUAAAAAUAAAAAUAGAAAACCGUCUGUAUGAAGUAGAGCAUUUUCAAUAAUGCAUACCCACUAACUUAACUGACUAUAGUCAUUUCUUAUUACAGAAAAUCUAAUUAACUCAUCA
rnacentral:lncRNA from 1 species